GCAGAGGCGGCAGCCAGCUCGUCAGUGACUUCCGGGACGUCCCCCAUCCCGCGCUCCCUGCUCCUCAGGCCCAGCUUGCUCCUUGCUCCUUUCUCCUCGCUCCUCCGACGCACAUCAGACCACUGGAAGGGGGUGGGAAACCUGGAUCCUGGGUUGUUUUAGCUGGGAGCUGAGUCUAAGGGACUUUUUUUUUUUUUUUAAUGGCAGAGCGUGGCUUGUUUUGUUAAAACUGCCGCCAGUUGUUGCAACAGCUCCGAGUUAGAAUAAUAGAUGCAGUGUUCAGUUUUUAAUAUAUGUGUUCCCUGUUUUCUCUGCUCUUUUUAUGGCGGGGGGUGGGGGACAAAAAAGUGUAAAACAAGAUCCGUGCCGCAAAGGCAAUUUAAACCUAACAUCCCAACCUUCAUGCAGCCAUUCUACAAGGAGUUGUUGAGCACCUGCUGUCUAUCUACAGAAAUCUUGAAAUGUGGAACAGAGAUGGAAAUAUAGCAUGCAAGUCAGAAUGAAUUGCCAAACAAUGACAGAAGGCUGCUCUGAAAUGAUCAAAAUUUUCUCCUGGGACCUCACACCAAAGGAAUAUAAUAGGCAUUCAUUUCUAAGACAAUGCGGGUAAAGUGGAAUUCUAGUUUAUAUUACCUUUCUUAUUCUCUGCAUGCUGCUCUAGACAACUUUGUCAUGAUCCUUGCUUCUGGGGACUUGGUUUGUUUGGGGAAUGACAUCUUAUGAGGCAGUGGGAGCAAUACUUGUCCAGGACCAUUUUACCCAUGCAACCCAGAUGCAUAACCCAGGGGCAGAACUGGGGAUUCUAAUCAAGUCUCAAAGUGGAUAGGUUUGGAGAGGGCCAUCAUUGUAGCACAUAGAGGCUCCAAGAAGCUACAGUUCCUCCACAAGGCAAGCCCAGGUUCUGGCUUCUUUUUACAGGGUUUCAAAAGUGUGUAUUAUUUUAUUGUAUUUCUGGUUGUUUACUCUACAUUAAGAUAUUUAAAAAUAAAAAUAGAUUCUCAACCUAAA